ACCUGGUGUAAAAUUAUGAGCUUAAACUUGUUAUGUUCCUGCCUCCCUCUCCCUUCUUCCCACAAAUUCCCCUGCUACUACUCUUCAACAAGCACCUGCCCCACCACUCUCUUCUACAUCUUCUUCCACAAUACCACAACAACAACAACAACAACUGCUACUACUAGUAGUAUUGCUAAAAAACAAGCCUUUUCUACAUUUACAACUAAAGGGUCCGCCAAUGAGUCAGCCCUUCCUGCAAAUGGGAAGGUACUGCUCUCUGAAUUGUUGGAUGAGGAACUCCUUAACUGGGUCUCUGCAGCUGAGGACGCAGCCCAAGUGUUGAAUAGAAUUGCUGAGAGAACUAAUAGAAGCAGCGGGGUUGUGACUAGUUCAGAUUGUUGUUUGAUUAUCUCUGCGGCCAUUGAUCGUGGCAAUGCUAACUUGGCUCUUGCUGUUUUCUCUGCCAUGCGCUCCAGCUUUGAUACUUCAGAUAUUGGUGAGAAAAGUCCUUCUGUUGAAAAAUGGAAGUGGCCGAGGCCAGAUGUAAAUACUUACACUUCACUCAUUCAAGGUCUUGCAUCCUCGCUUAGGGUCUCAGAUGCCCUCAGAAUCAUUACCAGUGUUUGCCGUGUUGGAGUAUCGCCCAGUGAGGAGGUCCCUUUUGGUAAAGUUGUCAGAUGUCCAAUUUGUAUGGUCGCUGUUGCUGUCGCUCAACCACAACAUGGUAUUCAGAUUGCUUCCUGUUCAAAGUGCCGCUACCAAUACGAGCUUGUUUCAGGCACUAUUUGCAGUAUAGACUCUGAAGAAAUUAGCGUGGAUGUUCCAGCAUGGAAGAGGGGGCUAAGAUUUUUGCAAAUCGCAAAGCAGAACAUUCCAGCUGCUGUUCAUUCCGUUGUGAUGGAGACACCCUCUGGCAUGGCACGGACACACAGGUUUGCUACUGAAACUGUUGAUCUCCCUGCACAAGAAGGAGAAAGAGUGACCAUUGCUGCAGCUGCUCCAACAACUGUCUACAGGGAGAUUGGUCCAUUGAAGUUAAGUCCAAAAGCCCCCAAUUUCUUCCCUGGAGAACCUAUGUGCCUGACAAACCACACCAAUGGUCGAGAAUCACCAUUAUUAAGGGCACCUGCAAAAGAUAAGGGAACAACCUUAAUGAAUCCCUCUGUUCUCUUUCCUCUUCUUGCUGUGGUUGCCUCUGGAGAUGCUGCCUCUGGGAUCAUAGACUCCAACUUGCCUCAGUUAAUUUUGGUUGCUGCAGCUUCCUCGCUUGCCCUUGGAGCCACUGUGAAUAGCCUGGUUUUUCCUCAGUUAAGCAAGCUUCCUCAAAGAUUAGUGGACACAAUUGCUAUCAAGCAGCAACUGCUAUCUCAGUAUGAUUUACUGCAAUCUCGAAUCAAGGAGUUGAAGCAAGCUGCUGAAAACGAGGUUUGGAUGUUGGCUCGCAUGUGCCAAUUGGAGAACAAAAUUUUUGCUGUUGGGGAACCUUCCUAUCGAGCACGAAGAAGUAGAGUCAAAAGGGUUCGUGAAGGACUGGAGGGUUCCCUUAAGAAAAGGAUUGAAUUGAUUGAGAGCUAUGCUAGAAUCUCAUCAAUGAUAGAGAUUGAGGUAGAGAUGGAUUCUGAUGUUCUUGCUGCGGAAGCAGCAACCAAUGCGGAAAAUAUUACUGGACAGAUACAGCAAAUAAUGGAGAUUGAAAAUCUUGAAGAGAAAUGGAGACUCCAGGCAGAGGCAAACGAUGAGGCCGAAAGACUUCUUAGUACUGAACCCACAUCUGCAGAACAGGUUCUAGACAGAUAACGGCCGACAUUUUCUAGCCAGGUGCAUUCCUGUUUAGGAUGGCUGAUGCAUUACAAACAUUCUGCCAUGGCACCAAGUAGAGCAUGAUCAUGUGGAAUGCAAGUGAUGGCAUCUCAAACCAAUUGUUUACACUCGCUAAAGGCUGCGGGCUUCAUUGCCCAAUGCAGAAAGCAGUUAUUUAGGUUGGAUGACUAGAUUGAGUGGUUUUGGGCUUCUCUUUCAGUCAAACUUGUUUAUUCAAGUGAUGAUUUCUUCCAUGCGGGCGUUUAUUACUCUUAUCAAAGGUAUUCUGUAAGUCGCAGGGUGUGAAGGUCAAAACAGGUGGGACUGUAUUUUCCUGAAGGAAUCCUUCAACUUUUUGGUGGUACUUCAUUCUGCUUUUUGAGCAACUUGUCUGAUGCUUGCCACGUUAGAGUUAUAGGUGUCAAAUGGGUAAUGAUAAGAUGAGCAGGAUAUAUGCCUGACAAAUUGAGUUGUUAGUUGCUCCAGCUAGCUAACUAGGUAGUUCAGGCUCAUUCGGUGAUUGUGGGUCCUGAUUCUUGGACGAGUCGGUUUGUAAAACUAGCGUGGGGCAUGUUUUGGGCCGCAAUAAUUGGAAAGCACAAGGAUUCUACACUGUACAAGAAUAGAAUAAUUGACACUAAACACUAGAAUUGUAGGCGGGUGAAAUGGAAAUUGGCAUUUCUGAAUUUUUUUUUUUUUAAAGACUAGCAGCAGCUUACAAUAAUUAGAGUUUUUUUCCUCCAAGAUAAUACUAAUACUCUUUUCAGAAAAAAUUCCCAAAUGAUUCAAUCCCAAGUUUUAUUUUCACAAUGAUGCUUUUUGGCCCAUAUGAAAUGCUAGCCUUAGCUCUACAAUAGAUGUGUGCUGUGCCUGUAGACUUGCUGGAUCAUGCUGGAGCUCUGGUCCACUAGCUAAAAAAUAUUUUGACUAAUAUCGAAAGAUUAUGAGGUAGUUAUUCUGGGUUUAAGGUUUUCGGCCGCACUUUCAGUUAUUAAUUGGUUGGAUGGUGUUGGUUUGUGGGUUCCACUUUAGAUUGUGCUUUGCACCAGGAUUUCGAUUACCCGUGAGUGUUAAUCUAACUUUGUUGUGUGAUUUCCAGUAAUUUCGGUUGUUGAAAACAAAUUGAGGUUAGCCAUUUUGAGCCUAUGACUCUUGUGAAAUUGCAAGUACACCGUCAAUCAUUUCAAAAUAAGGGUAUUUGACAAUUGGGUUCACCAUUUUCAGUUCAUCAACAUUUGUGAUCCUUUAACCAGGCAAGUGACAAUUGGGUUCGCCUUUUUCCAUCCAUCAAGUUUGUAAAUACAAGCAAAGGUGGGCUAAUAUGAUACUCCACUUUUGUAGCAGCGGUCCUCUCGUCUUGGCGCGACUCCUUUGGCAACUGGUUUAGCAAAAUGGUGAUUUAUUGGCGCCAUCAUGCGGAAGGAGGAAUAUGAAAAAUUUAAUAGACUGAACUCUUAAAGGCGGAAAAGUGGGUGGUUCUCAAAAAAAGAAAAGAAAGCAUAUGUGGACUCGAUAACCGUGCCUUUAUCCUAAAGGCACCUUCCCCAGCCGUCUCCCCCCCUUUCCUCCUUCUCUCUCAUAUAAAUUUAUCCAAUCCCUCCUUUAUUCCUUGUUCUGUGCUUGCUCUGAUUCGGGUAUCAAAACUUUCCGCAUCUACAAACUCUUGUGGCAUGUAGCAAGCAAGGAAAGUAGAGAAAAUAAAUCUCUACCACUUUACAA